rnacentral:misc_RNA from 1 species
GAUGAAGAACGUAGCGAAAUGCGAUACUUGGUGUGAAUUGCAGAAUCCCGUGAACCAUCGAGUCUUUGAACGCAAGUUGCGCCCGAAGCCGUCAGGCCGAGGGCACGCCUGCCUGGGCGUCACACGCCGUUGCCCCCCCGCGCCCCGCACCCAACUCUUUGGGAGCGACCGCGGGGCGGGCUGAUGAUGGCCUCCCGUGCGCUCCGCCGCGCGGUUGGCCCAAAUUCCGAGUCCCCGGCGACGUGCGCCACGACGAUCGGUGGUUGAGAGACCUCUGUCGCAAGUCGUGCGCGCCCGUCGCGUCACGCGGGCUCGCAUAGCGCCUCGCGCCGCACCCGGUGCGGAGCUUUCAACGCGACCCCAGGUCAGGCGGGGUUACCCGCUGAAUUUAAGCAUAUCAAUAAGCGGAGGA